ensembl:lncRNA
AAAAAAAAAAAACUAAUAGGCCUAUCUCACAAAAAUCGGAAAUGACGUCACACCGGGUAAACAUUCUUCCGGCGUAGUCAUUUUUGUAUUGCCGUCAAUGCAAAAAUGGAUCGUUUCUUCGCCACUUCCCUGGUGGGUAUUCCCAAAUUGCGAUUCGAAGAUGUGCAGAAGAUUGUGGAGACACACUCAGCAACACCACAGCCCAGGCUGACAAAGGGGUACAAGUUUUUUGUGGAGGAGUUUGUACACAAUAAUCAAGAUCACCCUGGAGGCUGUUGGACAACUGGGUCUCUCAGAGCUGUAGCUGUGCUGCGGGAAAAGGCUUCUGUAGCCAUAUAACCGCUCUGCUGUUCCAGACAGCGCAUUAUGUGCAGCUGGGCCUUGAUGUGGUUCCACCUUCCUGGCCUGUACCAGUCAACCACAGAUGUGGCAUCGACCUCGAACCCAUGUGUGCUGUUGUGUCCUCUGUUCAAAUCAUACACUUCAGUAUUUGUCUAGAGUAUAUGAGCAUUUCCUGUAUUGUUGUUCGCCUCAGGGAAUCUACCCAGAGGCUGUGAGUGACCUGGUGGUGAAGAAACCCAAGUCGGUGGGGAAGACUGGAGUCAAGUCCACACUCUACAGAGCGUAUGCUGAGGGAAUAUCCAGCUUGGAGUUGGUACCAUCUCAGCUGUGCUGACCUGGAAGAUGUCAGCAAUGACCUGUUCUUUAAGGUUGAGUGUUGUACAUAGAGUAAAAACCAAAGUAAAAUUCCUCGUUUGUUCGCAAACCUGGCCAAUAAAGCUGAAUCUGAAUUAAUAUGCAACCCCAGUUUAACAGUACGUCUGAUGUUGAUUGAAUUUUUUAACGUUAACCAUGCCAUGUUUGGCAAAAUUAUACAAUAG